CUGGGGUGAUGUGGCACAGUGACACCUCCUCCUUGUAAAGUAGGGGCAGGAUGCUGACCAGUC
rnacentral:snoRNA from 1 species